AGACUGACUCCCCGGUGUGACCUUGGCCUGUCCUGCUCCCCAUGGGCUCACCGGUGAUCAGACUGCCUGACCCUGGCUGCUGUCCUGCACCCCCCUCACCGGCUCCACCUCGGACCUCACCGCCAUGAUGUGUCUGAUGAACCGGGCCCUGCGCUGGCCCUGCUGCCUCUGCCGGCUCAGGUCCUGCCCUGGCGGCCAUGUUGUCCCACUGACUCCUUUCCCUCAGGGUGUCCCGGCCCUUGGUGCACCCCACAGUCACCAUAGACCUUCUGCUGCCCUCCAGCACCGCGGCUGGGCAGGGGUCAACACUGCCCUGCCCCAGAGCCACAGCACUGACCCUUCUGUGUGACACUGACCAGCCCAGCCUGGGGCUGCAUCCUGCCCAGAACAGCCCCACUGAGCCACCCCUGGACCUGCAGAUCCUGCACCUCCUGCUCCCCACAAGUGCUGCUGGAGAGCUAUGGGGCUGCCCCCUCCGAGGGGUGUUCCCCUGCCCUGCCCUGCAGAGGGGUCGAUGCUGCUCCCUUCUGCUGGUGAACAUGAGGAGCAGCCUGGGCCCUGGAGCUGUACCUGCCUGAUCCUGCGGCCAUCGCUGGACAGUCCCGAUGCCGGUACCACAGGGACAGCCAGAUGGUGCCGGUACCACAGGGACAGCCGGACGGUCCCGAUGCCAGUACCACAGGGACAGCCGGACGGUCCCGAUGCCGCUCCAGUCCCACAUGCUCAGGUACUCACCUUGGUCAGCUCACCAGCACCUUCCAUGAGACAAGCAUUCAGGGCUGGCACUGCUGGGCUGGGAUGAGGCUGCCUGGCUCCAAGAGCUCUGUGCUCAGCUGAAGGAUGCCAGAGAUGACAGCAGAAAGUGGGAACCUGCUCCCACCUGGCAAUAAGGUAAAGACAGUGACAGCCACCAGAGCAAGGCUCCCCUGGCAGCAUGGGUGACUGUACCAUGGCUGGAUGAUUCCCUGCAGGUGCUCUUGGGCAUUCUGAGUUCUCACUCUUAACCUCUGUAGCCUGAGGCAGAGGAGUGCUGUGUAUGGGGCCUGGGGGUUUGGUUCUUGCCCGUGGCCACUCAUCUUCCUGGGUACCUACAGGUUCUGAAGCCAUGCUCCUGUACUCUCUUUUCCU
rnacentral:lncRNA from 14 species